GAUGAAGAACGUAGCGAAAUGCGAUAAGUAAUGUGAAUUGCAGAAUUCAGUGAAUCAUCGAAUCUUUGAACGCACAUUGCGCCCCCUGGUAUUCCGGGGGGCAUGCCUGUUCGAGCGUCAUUACAACCCUCAAGCUCUGCUUGGUAUUGGGCCCCGCCAGUUCUGGCGGGCCCUAAAGUCAGUGGCGGUGCCUUCCGGCUCCGAGCGUAGUAAUUCUUCUCGCUCUGGAGACCCGGUUGUGUGCUUGCCAACACCCCCCAAUUUUUUAAGGUUGACCUCGGAUCAGGUAGGGAUACCCGCUGAACUUAAGCAUAUCAAUAAGCGGAGGA
rnacentral:misc_RNA from 1 species